rnacentral:rRNA from 1 species
AAAGGUAGCAUAAUCACUUGUCCCCUAAAUAGGGACUGGAAUGAACGGCUAAAUGAGGACAAAGCUGUCUCUUACGGCCUAGCCAAUGAAAUUGAUCCUCCAGUACAAAAGCUGGAAUAAACUCAUAAGACGAGAAGACCCUGUGGAGCUUUAAAACCAAGAUCAUUAAACUAUGCUCCUUGGAUUUUUAGUUGGGGCGACUUUGGAGCAAAAAAAACCCUCCAAAACAUAAAUUUAAUUAUUUAGACCAACACACCAAGAAAAUUAUAUUAGACCCAGCAGUAUUUUUUACUGUCUGACCAAUGAACCAAGUUACCCCAGGGAUAACAGCGCUAUCCUCUUCUAGAGUCCCUAUCGACAAGAGGGUUU